rnacentral:rRNA from 1 species
AUGAACGCUGGCGGCGUGCCUAAUACAUGCAAGUCGAGCGAACGGACGAGAAGCUUGCUUCUCUGAUGUUAGCGGCGGACGGGUGAGUAACACGUGGAUAACCUACCUAUAAGACUGGGAUAACUUCGGGAAACCGGAGCUAAUACCGGAUAAUAUUUUGAACCGCAUGGUUCAAAAGUGAAAGACGGUCUUGCUGUCACUUAUAGAUGGAUCCGCGCUGCAUUAGCUAGUUGGUAAGGUAACGGCUUACCAAGGCAACGAUGCAUAGCCGACCUGAGAGGGUGAUCGGCCACACUGGAACUGAGACACGGUCCAGACUCCUACGGGAGGCAGCAGUAGGGAAUCUUCCGCAAUGGGCGAAAGCCUGACGGAGCAACGCCGCGUGAGUGAUGAAGGUCUUCGGAUCGUAAAAUUCUGUUAUUAGGGAAGAACAUAUGUGUAAGUAACUGUGCACAUCUUGACGGUACCUAAUCAGAAAGCCACGGCUAACUACGUG